GCGAAAUUAACUAAAUAACACACAUACAUCGACACAUUUGUCGGGGUGUCUGUUUCGGGUUUGCCGCCUGAACGGAUCGAUAGAUGGGAUGUAUGGAGGCCUAAC
rnacentral:sRNA from 1 species